CGCGUAGGUGGUUCGAUCAGUCGGAGGUGAAAGCCCUCGGCUCAACCGAGGAUCCGCGUCCGAUACUGUCGAACUUGAGUGCAGGAGAGGAGAGCGGAAUUCCCAGUGUAGCGGUGAAAUGCGUAGAUAUUGGGAGGAACACCGGUGGCGAAGGCGGCUCUCUGGACUGCCACUGACACUGAGGCGCGAAAGCUAGGGGAGCAAACGGGAUUAGAUACCCCGGUAGUCCUAGCUGUAAACGAUGGGCACUAGGUGUGGGAGGUAUCGACCCCUUCCGUGCCGCAGCUAACGCAUUAAGUGCCCCGCCUGGGGAGUACGGCCGCAAGGUUGAA
rnacentral:rRNA from 1 species